rnacentral:lncRNA from 1 species
UUUAAAAAUAGAUGAUCCGUUAAAUAUAUUUACACUGAAAGUGCUUUUAUAGUCAUGAACCUUCGGUGAAUUUUUAUAUUUUGAAGAAAGACUCAUUUGCUUUAAUGCACCUUCAAUAUUUAUUUUUCUAUUCAAAAAUCUGAAAAGACUGCCCUAAUUUGAACUGAUGAGAUAAUGACAAACAACUUUUUUUCAUACCCUAAAGACUCAUGUCCAUCAAUGCACCUUCAAAUAUAUUACAAAGAUACCCUUAAGCAAAUUAUAAAUUGCAAUGUAGUUGUCUGAAUCAAGAACGUGCAAAUAAUAAUCGUAG